AGGCACCUUCCAGGUGACGUGUCACUUCUGGACAGGAUGGGUAGCCUUGGCGGCCGUGAAGCACACGCCAGUUAUCAAAUGUCAGUACAUCUCCUAUAAAGAGAUUGCACCAAAGACAAAGGUGACACUGAUGGAUUGGCUGUUUCCAUGGCAGUGCUGGAGCCCUGAAGGAAGGCCUUCACACCACACCAAGCACUGGACAAGGCUUCAGAACAGAGGAGGAACACAAGGUCUCACAAGUUGUAAAAGCCACCCCAGGACUGGAAGCCAGCAAGAACUGAACUUCUGUUUUGGAGUGGAAAAUUAUGAAACAAGAAGUAGAAUUUCAAGGAAUAUAUCAACAUAUUUUCUUCACUUUGGAAAAUAAAUACAUGCACCUAGAAUUGAACUGCAGCUCCAGGAGUCCUAGGCUUCCAAUGGUACAUGGACUGUAGUGUGCUCUUGUUCAAGUUCCCAAUUGCUCUUGCUAGAAGUUUCACCUGAUAUGAGAUGAUCCUUCUGGAGCAGAGCAUGGCCUGUGGUGUUGGGUUUUCCAGUGGGUUUGGCUUUUGUUACAGACCUGUGCUUUGUCACAGCACUGCAGAACAGCACAUGAUCAGCAUAGCAGGCUGGGAUUGCCUUGGAUUUUGGCAUGACAAACCUGCCAACCCCUACAGCUGCCCUGUGGAACCACCACCCUCCAUCCUCCACCCAAGCAGACCUGCAGCACUGGUGCCUGUCCUCUGGCCUCAGAUUCAAGCUGUGGAGCCAAAGGGAGGUAAAAGCUAAAUUCAAAAUGCUUCUCAUAUCACUUAACUUGAAGAGAAAUAAUUUUUCUGGGAAUUUAGCCUUUGCCAGACUCUGAAAUGUAUUUGGGAAUAAUACUGUAACCAUAAUAUGCCUGCUGACUGAAGAGAUAUUUAACCUCUAUGUGGUACUGCUAAAGGUGGAAAUUGCAAAGUGUCAACAAAACUGAACUCUACACUGAUACUCCUAAAACAGCUACUAAAACUGAAGAGCUUUUUUUUUCUUUAAUGCUUCACCACUUUGCAUUUUAAAAACAACAACAAACAAAAAUAGUUGCCAAACACCAACAAAACAAAAAAGCUAGAGAUUAAAUACAGUUCAAUCCUGCCGUGCAAAGCCAUAGACUCUUUUCCCCAAAGCUUCACUUUUGUUAUAUAAAUUCCCUUCCAGUGACAAGUGUAGCCAGCACCCUUAAUGCUUUAGGUUUGUCUUUCUUUUCAAAGGUGCAAGCUGGUACACAAACGCAUGUAAAUCCACCUCAAAUUUCAGAGAAGAAAGGCUCCAAGUUUCCAGCCCUCCUGACAUGCUGAUGCAGUCAAGAGCUUAGCCUUUGAGCUACUGCAGGAGCAGCCUUUUCCUCUUCACAUUUGCCAGUGUACUCCAUAAUGACACCAUGGUAAAUACACCAGAAGUUGGAACAUUGCAUAUAGCUCCAAGUGGUAAUAUGAAUGUGACCACACCAUUUAAUACUAAUUAUCCCAAAGAAAAUGAUUAAUUUCAGCACAGGAUCUCCAGCAGACUUUUUAGUCUUUAUGCUUUACAUAUUAGUAAUUGUGGGGUUUUUUCAAAGAGCUCUUAGAGCUUAAUUUAAAUACAUUAGUGCCAAUUUUGAUCCUUCUAGUAGCUGCAAUAGUUCUGAGGUCUAAUUUCUCACACUUAUGGUAUACACAUGAACAGCUUUUAAACAAUUCAUAUUUGUAUGAAAAACAGUGAAGGAAUUCUCCUGACUGGUCCCAGAGAGCAUCAUAGUCAGGUGAGCACAACAGCAAAACGUGAGAGACAAGUCAUAGAUCUAUGCUAAAAGAAGCAGCAUUUACACCUUGGCUCCAGAAGAAAAUGCUCUAUGUUGUCCAAUAUUUACAAUUUGACAGAUUACCAGGUCCAUAAUUAAUUGGAAAAGGGACAGGAAAGCAAAAGAGAAUGGAAAAAAGAUCUUGUGGUAUGCAGGUUCUUCCACUUAAAAGUGUUUUUUAAAAAGACUUCCUGAAAGUCUUAGAAAACUGUAUGCUCCCCAUGGCAUGUUAUUCUUCCACAUACCAAACAACAGGAACUUUCUACCCAUUUUUAUUCACAAAAUCUCUUCAGCCUGAAAAUCUAUCAAGGAGCUGCACUGGACUGCACAGGGACUGUACUCUUUGGCAGUAUUUCCUUGUGGAUCCCAAUCAAGCACUUCAUUGUUUUAUCAUGUCAUCAUAGAACAAUUUCUUCCCCCUGCUAAGGCAGUAAAUACAGUUUCCAUUGUACUAUAGUAGAAGUAGUAGAACAUAUGCUCUGAAAGCUGAAGGGGUAAGAAAGAUAAGGGUGAGUCAUUAGUGUCUGGACAGCCUUAGGUCUCACUUGCACAGCACAGCUGCAGUUGCCAAAUUAAAAAUCUUUAUGUUUGCAAAUCACAGUCAGCUAGGUUGAGAAAGACUUUUGUGAUCAUCAAGUCCACCCCAUGACCUGGCACCACCUUGUCAACUAAACCAGGGCACCGAGUGCCACAUCCAGCCUUUCUUAGACAUCUCCAGCACAGUGACUCCACCACCUCCCUGGGCCACCCAUCCCAAUGCCCAAUCUCCCUUUCUGUGAAGAAAUUCUUCCUGAUGUCCAGCCUGAACCUUUCUGGUGCAUCUUUAGUCUGUGUGCUCUUGUUCUGUGGCUGGUUGUCUGGGAGCAGAGCCCGACCCUCA